GGAAGUGUACAGCUCAGUGGUAGAGCGCGUGCUUAGCAUGGUUGAGGUCCUGGGUUCAAUUCCCAGUACCUCCA
rnacentral:tRNA from 1 species